UUCCCACAGUCCAAAGACGUGUUGCAGGUUAACUGGAGACUCUACUGUCCGCUGAUUCGGCGAUAGACUCCGAACCACUGUGAUCCUAACCAGGACAAGUAUUUAACGAAAGUUUCGUGGCUCUCAACAUCUGGUUUAUGUGCCACAGCACGCGAUUUGGACCUUUCACAGCUGUGUGCGAUGCAUGCAAAAGUCCUGCAAGAUGUGUGAAGCCACGGCAUGUUCCCUGCAGCGCCUCGUAUCGUCCCACUUGGUAGGUCAAAACAAAACGAAUCAGACAUCUUCCAGGAGAAAAAAAGAAAAAAGAUCAGAGCUGAACAGAACAUACGGGAGGAUUAUUUCCACUCCUGCCGCUAUCUGCUCAAGUCCUGCGGUUAAGCAGUCUGCCUCCCAGAUUCACCCCUACAGUGUUGUGAGCCACAGGAAACGUGAAGGAGGACGACUCGGUCAGUGUUUCGGGUGAAAGGCCUGGUCUGUUUGGCCACUGUCCCACGGCAAGCUGCGGUGGGUCUCAUGCAAAUGAAGUGACUGACAGACGGAACCGCGGAGCCUUGCUGCGAGCCUGCAGCAGGCUUGUGAAAGCAGCUGUCUUGGGAAGGGAAGCACGCAAAUGAGUCCGAAAUGAGCCCUCUGUGGAAGAGCUGAGGUGCAAUGACAGUGAGGAGAAACCUGGCCCACAGGUCCCAAAAGGGACAGAGACCUUCCACGCUCUGUGGAAGCUGAUCACGGCACCAUUCUGAAGUUCCACUGCUAAGAGUGGUGGUCCAGUUUAGAAAGACACAGAUUGGAGGAAAGCAGCACAGGGCAAUUGGGGAAGACUGGCUCUCCAGCCAGAGACCACUGUGAUGGUGCAACUGGAGCUGGUGCUGACUCAAAGGUCUCCUCCAGCCCCGAGCUGACACUCCUUCCAUGGCUGUUGCUCUUCCGACCCGCUCUGGCAAAGAAAACACCUCAAGGCUGGACAGCGGGCCUCUUAUCUGCAGUGUACGAGAGCCUUUGUAACAUUCAAUCAUUCUAUAUUACCCUUCAA